UACGUAGGGUGCGAGCGUUGUCCGGAAUUAUUGGGCGUAAAGGGCUCGUAGGCGGUUUGUCACGUCGGGAGUGAAAACUCGGGGCUUAACCCCGAGCCUGCUUCCGAUACGGGCUGACUAGAGGUAUGCAGGGGAGAACGGAAUUCCUGGUGUAGCGGUGAAAUGCGCAGAUAUCAGGAGGAACACCGGUGGCGAAGGCGGUUCUCUGGGCAUUACCUGACGCUGAGGAGCGAAAGUGUGGUGAGCGAACAGG
rnacentral:rRNA from 1 species